ensembl:snRNA U1 U1 spliceosomal RNA
AUACUGACCUGGCAGGGGGGAUCCCAGGAUCAGGAAGGUGGUCUUCCCAGGGCGAGGCUCAUCCAUUGCACCCCGGAUGUGCCGACCCCUGCGGUUUCCCCAAACGUGGAGAACUCAGCUGCGUGAUUUGUGGUAGUGGGGGACACGUUUGCGCUCUCCCCUG